rnacentral:misc_RNA from 1 species
GAUGAAGAACGCAGCGAAAUGCGAUACGUAAUGUGAAUUGCAAAUUCAGUGAAUCAUCGAAUCUUUGAACGCACAUUGCGCCCGCUGGUAUUCCGGCGGGCAUGCCUGUUCGAGCGUCAUUUCAACCCUCAAGCCCCCGGGUUUGGUGUUGGGGAUCGGCUCUGCCUUCUGGCGGUGCCGCCCCCGAAAUACAUUGGCGGUCUCGCUGCAGCCUCCAUUGCGUAGUAGCUAACACCUCGCAACUGGAACGCGGCGCGGCCAUGCCGUAAAACCCCAACUUCUGAAUGUUGACCUCGGAUCAGGUAGGAAUACCCGCUGAACUUAAGCAUAUCAAUAAGCGGAGGA